GAUGAACGCUGGCGGCGUGCUUAACACAUGCAAGUCGAACGGAAAGGCCCAAGCUUGCUUGGGUACUCGAGUGGCGAACGGGUGAGUAACACGUGGGUGAUCUGCCCUGCACUUCGGGAUAAGCCUGGGAAACUGGGUCUAAUACCGGAUAGGACCACUUCUUGGAUGUUGUGGUGGAAAGUUUUUUCGGUGUGGGAUGAGCUCGCGGCCUAUCAGCUUGUUGGUGGGGUAAUGGCCUACCAAGGCGUCGACGGGUAGCCGGCCUGAGAGGGUGUACGGCCACAUUGGGACGGAGAUACGGCCCAGACUCCUACGGGAGGCAGUAGUGGGGAAUAUUGCACAAUGGGCGCAAGCCUAAUGCAGCGACGCCGCGUGGGGGAUGACGGCCUUCGGGUUGUAAACUCCUUUCGCUAGGGACGAAGCGUUUUUGUGACGGUACCUGGAGAAGAAGCACCGGCUAACUACGUG
rnacentral:rRNA from 1 species